UAUGAUGCCAUCUCAGUGGCAUGUCUGCUGAUGGCGGCAGUCAUCAUCUCACUCAACGGUCUGGUCAUCUUCAUCAUAGCCCGACAGAAAGACAACAACAGGCUUCACUUCUUCAUAUUCCAUCUUGCCAUUGCUGACCUUUGUGUCGGCAUAGUAUGCGGAUUUUUCGAGGGAAUGUUCUACGGUAUUCUGCGAGGGGAUUGGUUCUUGGGUGACGUCAUGUGCCGCAUUUGGCACUAUUCUACGUUUGUGGUCCUUACUGUGCCCAACAACCUUCUCAUCGGAAUGAGCGUAGACCGAUAUCUGGCUGUACGGUACCCGCUAAGGGCAAUAACUGGAGGGUAUCGUCCCUACAAGGCCAUGAUUAUCGGUGUUCUUCAUCCCAUUCCUAGCUGUCUCCGUUUGUUAUGUCGGCAUCUCGGUUGUCGUAUGGAGUCAUUGGCGGAACAGAAGACAUCUCACGGAAAUCACUGAAAUGAACAGUACGUGUAAAGAAUUAACUUUCCCGUUACGACACAAAUCCACGAACGAGGGUUUACUACCAAAAGCCAGAAUAAAAACAAUAAAGAUGACUUUGAUAAUAUGCCUUUCGUUCUUCAUUUGCUGGCUGCCGGCUACAGUGUUCAGCACUAUGGACUUAUACGGCAUAAGGCUUGACCGUCGCUACUAUAUGGUCCUGCAGCGCUUAUAUCCACUCAACAGUGCGUGCAAUCCAAUUAUAUUCAUGUGGUUCAGCAAGCAAUUGUUGCCAUGCGGGUCGCCAAAGUCUUCGAAAGCGACAAGAUGUUAUGAAAGUAACGAAACAACGAAAACCACAUUUGUUCAGUCGACGCUAAAUUGUUUAUCGAACGUCUCUACUAAACGAACUUAAACAGGUCAAAACUUUCAACAAGAAGACACAAAUACAGACGUGUUUCCUUUCACAAAAUGCGUAUUAAAAUUAAUCUCAAAAGCAUCUCAAGUCUCAUUCACUAAAACCACAAAACCUCAACGACCUGCGAAAUGACGAAUUGUUACCUGUAAUUCAGACAUUAGUGAAUCAUCAUUUAUCUCAAAAGCUGUACAAUUGCCAGAAUUGCAUCAGCAUCUUAAUUGUCAUUUUUAAGUAUUAAUUAUCAGAAAUUUCACACAAUCUUCUACAUUAUUAUUGUUUAAUAAUGGUACAGGAUUUGGUCAUAUUUUCAAGCAAGUAGUCUUUAGUUUAGAUCCCUUAUUUUUUAGACAUUUGUUUGACUCAUGUUGAGAAGUUCAAACCUUUUGUUCAACAUUGGCAUCACUAAGAAUUUCUUAUGAAUCACCUGUUUGGAAAUAUACCGUGUUUUCAACUUACUUCUUUCUUUUUAUAUGUGAAUACCUGAACUAUAAUUCUUAAUGUCCAGCCAUAUAUCGUCUUGUCAAUACGUUUCACAUAAUACAUUCACUGGCAAAAAAACUUACCAUAUUUGACGCUUUCGAGUGUCCUUCCGCUACUGUUCUUCGUCUUUCCUUUCAGUAUUACUAUAAUCCUGCUCUGUCUAUUAUAUAUGUGCAAGUACCUCAUGGAAACUCUAAUGCAUAGCUUCUUUAUCAUUCAAAACCAUUUAGAAAUUGAUUUACCUGGUUGCACGUGCUUAAUUCUUAAACGCACAACGAUUAUCGAUAGAGAAUAAUGCAUACAUAAUUUUUAGUAAAUUGUUUUCUUAUCCAAUUUUCCAUCGACAUAAUUCACAUGUUAUGUUCAAAGUAUCUUAAUAAAUCUUAAAUAAACCCAAAUCAAUUUCAUAUGAAAGCAAUCGACUCAAAUUUUACAUUUAAAUGAGAAUGUUAUAUCAAUAUACAGAAGUGAAACUCCAGCUGCUGGAGCAGUAUUAAAUUCUUAUUAUAUACAUUAUUUUCUUAUUGUUUAAUAAGCUCUUAAAUGAGUGAAGAAAAAAACGUUGAUAGCUGUUUAUGUAUUUUCAAUAUGUUCCGCAACUGAUUUCUGUCAACGCAUACUAUAAUUGUUUCAGUUGAAAUAAUAUGUCUGCAAACAUAUUGCUAGUUUGCAAAAUGAAUUUUGUUUAUUUUAAACAAAUUGCCAUCUCAUAGUUAAUGUCUUUUAAUCUAAAUGUACUCGUAUCCCUUAAUUUAACUAUACGUUUCAACGCGCUUGUUUGGAUUCAAACACAAACUAUUUUUAUGAACUAACAAUGUCAACGAAUAUCACGACUACUACUUUCAAAUAACAAAGAGUGUCGUUACAACAAGGGGUCGUAUGGAUCAUAUGAGUCGACUUUAAGAAUAUUAAGCAUUAUAUUAACUAAGAUUGAAUGGCAAACUUGUCUUGACAAAUGAUAUUCGUUUGUUUUAAAUUUAACUCUAAAUGUAAUGCAAACAUUUUUCAGCAGUGAACUCUUUCAGACUGGUUAUGACUGGCUGUGAUCACUCUUUAUUUUGGAACCAUUUCGUACUUGUAUCUUCUCCUAGGCUUAAAAAUCUGUUUUUGCUACAGUUAAGCUUUGCAGUGUUUUGUGCGCACACAACAUGCAUAUUUAUAUCAAGAAACUUAUUAUCUAGGACUUAAAUUAAUUCAGGUCUUUCUUAUUCUGAAAACCGACAAAGAGGGAAAAAUAAAUUAAAUGCAUUAACUGCUAUAGAUAAGAUAUCAUCUUAUAAAGCAAUUAACUAGUUAAUGAUUGGCUUUAAUAACUGCAUAUGUAAAUUUAGCAAACGACUUCAAACGUUCUCGAAAAAAAAUUCCUUACAAUCUAAGUAUUUAUACAAAACUGUAAUACUUGUUAUUGAAUGAUAAAUGCCGUAUAGUAGAAUAUUAUUAUUACAUUUUUUACUGAAUUGUUAGAUUU